AGAAAGCCAAGAACUUGCUCGAACAUCGCAAAGCUUUUGUUGGUGGUGAAGAAAGUGAAGUGAAGAAAGAAAUCUCCAAGGCGCAGGACAGAGUUAUCAUGGAAACUCAAGAGCAAGAUGUGUCUGUCGUUGAAACGUACCUUCAAUCCCUGGUCCUUGACCGUCCUGAAGAAACCAUCUGAAGCUCAUGUAGAGGAUGCACCAGGAGCAUUGGCCUUGCUAAGAGGAUGUUCAUAGUAGUCAGUGUAGCUAGCUCCUUUCUCUUUACUUUGUUUGUUAGAAAUUGUUAACAGUUAACUGAACCCCCAACAGUUCUGUGAGUAACAACAGUUAAGUGUGGAUCCUCCUGCCCCUGACAGCAAGGGAGAUUCAUUCUCCCCACCAGUGGCAGUUACAUUUUGGAAGCAAAUAAUGUCAUUUGAUUUCACGGUUGGCUUCUUUGGUUCUCUGUCACUUCCCCAAAGUGAAUGUUACCUUAGUUAUUUAGGAAGAAAUAAAAAACGAUGGGAUCCAUUAA